rnacentral:rRNA from 1 species
AUGAACGCUAGCUACAGGCUUAACACAUGCAAGUCGAGGGGCAGCAUGGUCUUAGCUUGCUAAGGCCGAUGGCGACCGGCGCACGGGUGAGUAACACGUAUCCAACCUGCCGUCUACUCUUGGACAGCCUUCUGAAAGGAAGAUUAAUACAAGAUGGCAUCAUGAGUCCGCAUGUUCACAUGAUUAAAGGUAUUCCGGUAGACGAUGGGGAUGCGUUCCAUUAGAUAGUAGGCGGGGUAACGGCCCACCUAGUCUUCGAUGGAUAGGGGUUCUGAGAGGAAGGUCCCCCACAUUGGAACUGAGACACGGUCCAAACUCCUACGGGAGGCAGCAGUGAGGAAUAUUGGUCAAUGGGCGCAGGCCUGAACCAGCCAAGUAGCGUGAAGGAUGACUGCCCUAUGGGUUGUAAACUUCUUUUAUAAAGGAAUAAAGUCGGGUAUGUAUACCCGUUUGCAUGUACUUUAUGAAUAAGGAUCGGCUAACUCCGUGCCAGCAGCCGCGGUAAUACGGAGGAUCCGAGCGUUAUCCGGAUUUAUUGGGUUUAAAGGGAGCGUAGAUGGAUGUUUAAGUCAGUUGUGAAAGUUUGCGGCUCAACCGUAAAAUUGCAGUUGAUACUGGAUAUCUUGAGUGCAGUUGAGGCAGGCGGAAUUCGUGGUGUAGCGGUGAAAUGCUUAGAUAUCACGAAGAACUCCGAUUGCGAAGGCAGCCUGCUAAGCUGCAACUGACAUUGAGGCUCGAAAGUGUGGGUAUCAAACAGGAUUAGAUACCCUGGUAGUCCACGCCGUAAACGAUGAGUGCUAAGUGUUAGGGGGUUUCCGCCCCUUAGUGCUGCAGCUAACGCAUUAAGCACUCCGCCUGGGGAGUACGACCGCAAGGUUGAAACUCAAAGGAAUUGACGGGGGCCCGCACAAGCGGUGGAGCAUGUGGUUUAAUUCGAAGCAACGCGAAGAACCUUACCAAAUCUUGACAUCCUCUGAACCCCCUGGAGACAGGGCUUCCCUUCGGGGCAGAGUGACAGGUGGUGCAUGGUUGUCGUCAGCUCGUGUCGUGAGAUGUUGGGUUAAGUCCCGCAACGAGCGCAACCCUUAAGCUUAGUUGCCAUCAUUAAGUUGGGCACUCUAAGUUGACUGCCGGUGACAAACCGGAGGAAGGUGGGGAUGACGUCAAAUCAUCAUGCCCCUUAUGACCUGGGCUACACACGUGCUACAAUGGCUGUUACAGAGAGAAGCGAAUCCGCGAGGAAGAGCAAACCUCAAAAAGGCAGUCUCAGUUCGGAUUGUAGUCUGCAACUCGACUACAUGAAGCUGGAAUCGCUAGUAAUCGCAUAUCAGCCAUGAUGCGGUGAAUACGUUCCCGGGCCUUGUACACACCGCCCGUCAAGCCAUGGAAGCUGGGGGUACCUGAAGUCGGUGACCGCAAGGAGCUGCCUAGGGUAAAACCGGUAACUGGGGCU